AGUCCAACGAGAAUGUUUUGAGAGAAUCCAUAGCUACUAAGAUGAAGCCCAGGCACAUACAAGCCACCUGAGAUUCAUACAACAAAUUCACGGCGACCAGAGAUCCUGCUCCCUCGUCUCUCCCAAGACCUGUUAACUUCCAGAAGUCUUCAAAGCACUUUUGGGUCCAGUUUCUUGCUAUCUACCCAAUGGGCAGACAGGAUGAGGACUUCAGAAGAAAGUCAUGAGGGAAGGCAUCGUUUGGGUGGAGUCUUCUACAAAUUGACACCCUAUUCAUAUCUCUGAUCCACUGCUGAGAGCAUCCUGCAGAACCAAGGCUCUACUGAUGUCACUCUGAGGAAGUCCCAAUUCAAAGUGACAGCGUUCUUCUCCAUGCUGCAUAGGGCUACAGGGAAAAAUGAGACCCAGCUUGGUCUCUGACCCCGAGGUUCUCAAAUCAGCUCCUGGGAAGCAUCUUGCAUGUGGAAGACAGAUAGACACAUCCUGAGAGGCUUCUUCACACUUGGUCGGAGUGAACUUACCAUGCUGGCAUCUCCUUGGUGUGCCCCUUCCUGUGGGUUCUGCAUCCUCACUCUCACUGCUCAACUGGAGAAGUAAUGGCUGAGGGAAGAUCAAGUGAGACACCAGGGUUGAAAGCCUUAUUAGCGUCUUUGAUCAAGAUCACCAUCCAUGAGUAAGAAGA